GACAGAGGAUGCAAGCGUUAUCCGGAAUGAUUGGGCGUAAAGAGCUCGUAGGCGGUUUGUCGCGUCUGCCGUGAAAGUCCGGGGCUCAACUCCGGAUCUGCAGUGGGUACGGGCAGACUAGAGUGCGGUAGGGGAGAUUGGAAUUCCUGGUGUAGCGGUGGAAUGCGCAGAUAUCAGGAGGAACACCAAUGGCGAAGGCAGAUCUCUGGGCCGUAACUGACGCUGAGGAGCGAAAGCAUGGGGAGCGAACAGG
rnacentral:rRNA from 1 species